UGUGACCUCAUCGGAUGUGCUGCUAUAUUUUGACAAGCUGGACAGCGGCUGUCAAAGCUCUGCACUUUAUUGUAUACGCAAAUUUUUGUGCGAUUUGUUAUUAUGGAUUAAAUGUAAGCGAACAUUAAAGCAUGCCAAAGUCUCUGAAAAAGUCCUGCACUACUCAGACCUCUAUUAGCAGGUACUUUGGAGGACUGAGCAGCAGCAGCAGCUUUGCCUCCAACAAGCAGCGCGGGAUUAACCAAAAGCCUGCAGAGCAGCAGCUUUCAAGAGGCAACCAGAAGCUUUCAUCUGAUGAUGACUUGGAAUUGCCAAGAAAACGAGCUAAGCCUUCUCCAAAGGACCAACAGGCGGAGGAUGUGGAGUGUGAGCCUGCGUCCUGUCAGGGCAUUAAAGACACAAAGCUGACGCUGAGCCGAAAAGCAGGCAGCCUGUGCUCCUCCACAUUGGAGAAGCUGAAAGGCUUCACCUGCGGGGCUGAGCCCAGUGUCGUCAGCAGCAUCACCCGGGAAGAAACAGAGACAGCUGAUGCAGGUCAGGAAAGCAGUGAUUGGCCUCCUCGUUGUGCUACAGGUCAACCUGAAACUACACACAGACUGCAGCAUGCAGAAAGGGAGCAUGAGGAUGAAGAGGAGGAUGAUAAAGAAAAGGCAGAUCUGGGGUUGGCUGCAGCAAAACAGGGAGUUCACUUCUCUCAGUUUGCCAAGACAGGAGGAGGAAAGUGUGCAGAGCUGGGUCCUCUGUUGGGGUCUAGCACCUCCUCCAGGCGUUCAAAGAGCAUUUUCACCCCCCUUGAGCAGCAGGUGAUCCAGCUGAAACAGCAGCAUAAGGAUGCUUUGUUGGCUGUGGAGUGUGGUUACAAGUACAGGUUCUUUGGAGAGGACGCAGAGAUUGCUGCAAAGGAGCUGAACAUCGUCUGUCAUCUGGAUCAUAACUUCAUGACGUGCAGCAUCCCCACACACCGCCUGUUUGUUCAUGUCAGACGGCUGGUGUCUCACGGACACAAGGUUGGAGUGGUUAAACAGACAGAAACAUUUGCGAUCAAAGCGUCAGGGGCCAACAGAAAUGCUCUGUUCACUCGUCAGCUCAGUGCCCUGUACACCAAGUCCACUUUGGUGGGAGAGGAUGUAAAUCCGGUCUGCAGACUCGGGGAUGUGGAGGAGGGGGGCUGCGAUGAUGUUGUGUCGGACCCUCCCGACAGUUUCCUGAUUUGUAUUAGUGAGAAUUGGGACAAAGUGAAGAAGCGGCUCACUGCAGGGCUUGUGGCAGUUCAGCCCAGCACAGGCGACGUGCUUCUGGACUGUUUUCCUGACGGUCCCUCUCGCUCUGAGCUGGAAUGCCGUGUGCUUAAAAUCAACCCUGUUGAAAUCCUGGUGCCCUCUGACCUCUCAGAGCAAACCGAGAGACUCCUGCACAGCAUCACUAAUGCAAGGCAAACCAGCCUACAAAAUGUUGGAAUGAGAUCCAGACUGGGCACCCUCUAUCAACCUGGGUCAUACCGAGUUUUAAGCUGCUACCAUGGUGAGAUUUGAUCGGUUAAAGAGGGAGAGCAAGAUGAAAACAGCCACGAAAAGUCCCACAUUCCUCUGGGCCAGAGACGGAUAAUCCAGGCGAGAUCUAUGCAGCACCAGUCACUACUGAAACUGCAGCAGAGACCCAACCACAGCACAAGCAUGAAGAUCAGCAGGAGUGUAAAAUCUGUUUGGUGUAUUUGCAGGAACAAAACCAAAAAUUGAAACAAGAACUGUCCAAAAAGAAAUUAGACAAGGACUUCCUGAAAGACAAGAACUCUAAAGAGAAGUUCUACACAGGGCUGCCAUCUUUUGCUUUACUAAUGGGGGUGCUACAACAAAUUAGCCCCAGCCUACCAGAUACCGACGGAAAAAUUUUCAGAUGCUCUUAGAUUAGAGAGAUUAGAUAAAACUUUAUUAAUCCCUCGGGUGGGUUCCUUGUUGACUCUCAUGCGUUUAAGACUAAACACACCACUUGAACAUGUUGCACACCUCUUUGAUAUUAGCUGGACAACUACAUCCACUUUGUUUAACAUUACUGUAAAUGUACUGUACGCUCACCUCAGCCCAUUGGUGUACUGGCCUAAAAGACAUUGCAUACAGGCCAGUAUGCCACACCAGUAUGUUGAGAUGUUUGGUGACCGUGUGACAGUUAUUAUUGACUGUUUCAAACUUUUCAUAGAGAGAGCACAAAAUUUACGCGCUAAGGCAGAGACAUAUUCCACAUACAAAAGUAGGCACACAAUGAAAUAUCUCAUAGGCAUCACACCCCAAGGGACUAUCUCUUUCAUUUCUAAA